AUUUUGUUGAUGAUCUAGAUUAUUGUCAGGUGGCAUGUAUUUGCUUCGAUAGCCUUAUUCAACCUUGCGGUGGUAAUGAUGGAGAUAAAGGAAAUAAUGGGCAAAAGCAGAAAGUUUUAAAAAUGAUGGUGAAAAUGACAACAUUGACACCAUUCAUUAACUAGUUUUGUACUUUAAAGGUGUUUUUUUUUUAUGCGAAUUCUAGGCACUAGAAAUAAGGGCUUGCAGACAUUAGCGCUCUUCUGGUAAUGGAUGCCCUUUGUGCUCUCGCUUCUUUGCUCGUUAAAGUUGCAUAGAAAUACUUUGAUCUUAUG
rnacentral:lncRNA from 1 species